UACAUCCGUGAUGAUUACAGUGAUUUCUUGAUAGGAAGAGUAUGAAACUUACAUGAAUACCAAACACAAAGCUGAAAAAAAA